UGUCUAUCAAAUUUGCUAGCUUUGGAACACCCGAGGGGGUCUGUGGCAACUUCCAAGAGGGAAGUUGUCAUGCAUUUCAUUCCUAUGAUGUUUUCGAGCAGGUAUGUACUGAUCUUAUAUGAAGUUACUGAUUCCUGCAUUAAAAGAACUAGCCUGGCUUGGUACAACCUGAAAAACUAGAAACUAACACGAAAAUCAAUCUGGUUAUAUCUUAAAACUUGGACUUUGACACUGCUGCUUGUUUUAAUGUUGCAGUAUUGUGUUGGCCAACAAUCUUGUGCCGUACCUGUAACACCCAAGAUCUUUGGGGGAGAUCCAUGUCCAAGCAUUAUGAAGAAAGUUUCCGUAGAGGCCAUUUGCAGUUAAUCCAUGGCCAAGCCUAGACAUUAACAGGUUCGACCUCAUUUCUGUUUCCUCUUGACACGAGUUGUCAACUAUUCUCUCUUCUUGAGGUAGCCAAUAGACUCCUAAUUCAUCUCAACCAUUUCUUUGGCUUUGCUGGGGGUGAAUUUGUACAUAUAUGCUGUUACGAGUGAUUCAAAAGUUAGCCACUUUAAAUCUCAACAAAAUAUGAACAAUAAUAAAGCGAGAAACUGAAAGAAACAAAAUGAACACGAUGAUUUCCACUCCAAAGCAAGAGGUUCAUAACCGGGGUCCUUAAUCCCCCUUUUAAGCUUCCAUCACUAGAAGGAGAUCACUAUAUCAAUGAAAUCAACUAACUGUCCAGUAUACAGUACUCCAUGGCACUAAGAUGAGAUCACACAAGAUUUCUUCCAAAAUAAGCCUCACUGAAAACUACAACAUUCACUCAAGAAUAUUGAGAUAUAAGCCUAUACGAAAUCGCUCAAGAUCUAUACAAACGGUUGGUUAAAAUCUCAUCAACAGAAGGCUUGAUUUUAGAGUGUAGUUUGAGAGAAAAAUAAAGAACUUACAGAGGGAGUUCAAGAGACGAG
rnacentral:lncRNA from 1 species